rnacentral:snRNA from 1 species
GUGCUCGCUUGGGCAGCACAUAUACUAAAACUGGAACGAUACGGAGAAGAUUAGCACGGCCCCUGCAUAAGGAUGACACACAAAUUCAUGAAACGUUCCACAUUUUU